UAUAUCGGAACGUGCCCAGUCUGGGGGAUAACGUAGCGAAAGCUACGCUAAUACCGCAUACGAUCUAUGGAUGAAAGCGGGGGAUCGCAAGACCUCGCGCGAUUGGAGCGGCCGAUAUCAGAUUAGCUAGUUGGUGGGGUAAAAGCCCACCAAGGCGACGAUCUGUAGCUGGUCUGAGAGGACGACCAGCCACACUGGAACUGAGACACGGUCCAG
rnacentral:rRNA from 1 species